AAGAUGCUAGUAUAAAAAAUACCCUGCCUUGUCAAGACAAAAUUGUGGGUUAAACUCCCACGUAUCUUA